rnacentral:tRNA from 1 species
AGGAUAGAGUGUGUGGGGUAGCACGGAGAAAUUUGGAUUCUCAGGGGUGGGUUCGAUACCCACAGUCCUAG